GAUGAACGCUGGCGGCGUGCCUAAUACAUGCAAGUCGAGCGAACAGACGAGGAGCUUGCUCCUCUGACGUUAGCGGCGGACGGGUGAGUAACACGUGGAUAACCUACCUAUAAGACUGGGAUAACUUCGGGAAACCGGAGCUAAUACCGGAUAAUAUAUUGAACCGCAUGGUUCAAUAGUGAAAGACGGUUUUGCUGUCACUUAUAGAUGGAUCCGCGCCGCAUUAGCUAGUUGGUAAGGUAACGGCUUACCAAGGCAACGAUGCGUAGCCGACCUGAGAGAGUGAUCGGCCACACUGGAACGGAGACACGGUCCAGACUCCUACGGGAGGCAGCAGUAGGGAAUCGUCCGCAAUGGGCGAAAGCCUGGCGGAGCAACGCCGCGUGAGUGAUGAAGGUCUUCGGAGCGUAAAACUCUGUUAUUAGGGAAGAACAAAUGUGUAAGUAACUAUGCACGUCUUGACGGUACCUAAUCAGAAAGCCACGGCUAACUACGUG
rnacentral:rRNA from 1 species